GGGCCGCUAGCUCAAUUGGGAGAGCAAGAGACUCUUAAUCUCUAGGUUCCAGGUUCGAGUCCUGGGCGGCUCA
rnacentral:tRNA from 1 species